rnacentral:rRNA from 1 species
AUUGAACGCUGGCGGCAUGCUUUACACAUGCAAGUCGAACGGUAACAGGCCUUCGGGUGCUGCCGAGUGGCGCACGGGUGCGUAAUGCAUCGGAACGUACCCAGAGGUGGGGGAUAACGCAGCGAAAGCUGUGCUAAUACCGCAUGUGAUCUGAGGAUGAAAGCGGGGGACCGAGCAGCAAUGUUUGGCCUCGCGCCUUUGGAGCGGCCGAUGUCGGAUUAGCUAGUUGGUGGGGUAAAGGCCUACCAAGGCGACGAUCCGUAGCUGGUCUGAGAGGACGACCAGCCACACUGGGACUGAGACACGGCCCAGACUCCUACGGGAGGCAGCAGUGGGGAAUUUUGGACAAUGGGCGCAAGCCUGAUCCAGCAAUGCCGCGUGCGGGAAGAAGGCCUUCGGGUUGUAAACCGCUUUUGGCAGGAACGAAACGGUGUCCGCUAAUACCGGGCGCUAAUGACGGUACCUGCAGAAUAAGCACCGGCUAACUACGUG